rnacentral:piRNA from 1 species
UCAGCAACAAGAUGGACCCGACUUGCUGU